GAACCCCCGAAACCCCCCUUGCGUACGCGCCUGCUUCUGUAUAAUGGUCUUCCGGUUUAAUUUUGACCAGUGGUACAACUAGACUUAAAGUAUGUAUAUCAAGUAUAUCAAAGAAUUCAUGGCUGGUAUUCGCUAAGCGUUACAACUUCAGUCAGCUUACUAAGCUAGUAUCGUAGUCAAGAAUGGCGAUCCGUGGAUUUGAAAUAAAUCCAGAUUGAUUGUAGUUAGGAAUCAAUACAAUUCUGGAUUUAAUUUGAAACCAAAAUAUGUAUUCAUAAAUCCAAAGAAAACUUAUUUGAAUUCUUUGAGAUCUGAAAAUUAUUCUUUAGUAAUAAAAUUUGUUUGUUGCUAAAUUUAGUCGAUUAGGAACAAUUGUAUAUCAAUUAAGAAUUGGACACAUCUUACAAAAUACCUUGUAUAAUGACAGUAAUUCCGCUAGUUUUGGUGUCGUUUCGUCCAAUCAUAAUAUAAAUAUGAUAUAAAUCGAAAAGUUGUGAAGUCAAUCUAAUAAUAUGCAUUUGCUCUCGUAAAUGAAUGCUUUGUAAAAAAUAUGUUAAAACUUUCAAACUGAUCAAUUGCACAAAUAUCUUUUUGGCGUUGAUUUAUGAUCAUAGUCCAUGUCUGUGAGCAUAAGUGUAUAUCUGGUUGUUCUAUAUGUGAAUCAGUUAUCCUUUUCUUCCUGAACUUAAUCAUUAUCUUAAUAAAGUGGAACUCGAUCUGUUUACCGAACCGGGUGUCACGUGAUAUUGGACCAAUCAUAGUUUCCAUCCAGACCAUAAAGUAAAUAUCAAUCCACCAAAUGAUAAAUUCAUAAUGAAAUAAGGGUCGGAACCUACGGAUGAAGUGACGGUUUUCGUCAUGUCGCCAACUGCAACUGAACCGAAAGAACAUAAAGACGGUGUUCGUGUAGGACAGGAAGAUACUUCUUCAACAACGGGCAAUGAGACUACGCUCAAAAAGGAGCUGAAACAGGGAGGUGUUGAGAAACAGAUACGGAAAUGUUUGGAUUGUGAGAAUGGCAUUUCUCAAAGAGCCCAAAGAUGUCGUUCUUGUGAAAUUAAAAGGAGGAGUAGAUGCCAACACUGCCCAAGAUUCGUUAAAAUCGGCCAGAUAUACUGUCAACGUCAACAAUGCAAGGAGUUGCAUGAGUCUACUUCAAGCCGCUUUCCUAUCAAACAGUGAUUUCCAUGGCCUCGUAUGAUAAAUAAUUCUGACUAAUCCGAUCAAUUCGAACCAUAUAAAUCUAUUAAUAUAAUCUAUACAGAAAGUGUAGGCAAUGUCCCCUCGUCAACAUAGAGGAGCACAUCACAUUAACAAUGCAUGCAAGAGUAAACAUUAUAUUUAGAAAUACUGGGAACAGAAGUGUGCAUUUUAUAUGUUGACUUUGCUGGUUUUCCAUAGUUGCGAUUGAUUUUAUCAAUUGCAACUCUUUGUAAGACGGAUCCCAGAAGUGAUAUGAUCAGGCUGUCGAGAACAUUUGAACAACAGCUCAAUAUAAGUGAUAAAGAGAAUGUUACAUUGCAAUGAAAUUUUCAGUGAGAGUUUAUCUUAAUACUUGUUGGAACAAAUACAGUAUGAUACUUUAAUCUAACUUCUUAUUAAUCAGUGUUAGAAGACAAUAUAGCGAAAAUAUUACGGUACAAAUAACAAAUCUUCAUGCCCUUUUUGUUAAUUCAUUGAAAUGACAAUAAGCCUACAUGCAAUCUGUUGCCGACUGGAUCGAAAAGGCCCCUGAUCAGAGCCAGAGGGAAAUUACAUUCAUUAAAAUGAUUGAAUGGUUUUCAGAAACAGUUUCUCUGUUCUUUUAAUACAACCCCUUCCCUCUCAGAAAAAAAAAAGACUUUGGAUAUUAGGAAGCGUGUUAUUAAAGGUGUCAGAAUUGAAAAGUUAUUAGUCAUUAUUUCUGGUACAAAAUAAUUUCACAUCUAUCUAUGUCCUUUUCUAUCGGAAUUGACAUUGUUUUAUUUUCCGAUUGCCAAUGUCAUGUUUUUAUAUUUAUGCUACUUUAUUGUAAUCAUAGUUUUUCGGAUUCAAACUUUUACGGGUUUCGCAAACCCUUUUUUGUAUCUCUUGACAUGUUUUACUUUGUAUGUUUUACUUUUCUAAAUAAAUACAAAUACAAAAUUAUCAUUACGUUAAAAAGAAAAAAAAAUGAUUGUAUAUCAAUUGAUGUAGAAUUUUGGUAAUUCAAAAUCUUCAGCGAAGAAAUAUGCUCAUUAAACGAUUUUUUAUAUAUAUUAAUAUUGAGUGUGGGUGAAAGGAUGUGUGUAAGAUGGCAAGCGUGUAUGGAAAUAGGAGUAAGGGUGAAAGUAUGUGUGUGAUGAGCAAGUGUGUAUGAGAAUGUGAAGGUGUGUGAGUGGUGCCGUGGCCGAGUGGUCUAAGGCGCCUGGCUAUACAUGGAAAGUCCGGGGUUCGAUCCCCGGCCG